rnacentral:lncRNA from 1 species
AUCGAUGGAGUCUUGGGGCAAAGUUUAGGUGAUUAUUUGGCAAUGCAAAAUUAGUACGCUCGUCUAACUUGGCUACCAUUGGUGCAUUACUUUCUUUGACAACAUAUUUGGACUUUGCAUGAAUACAGAAGUGAUGGUUGGAGUAAUAGUUGUGGAGAAAUAGAGUUGCAUUUUAGGAUAAUGGGUAAAAUUGGAGCUAUGAUUAGUUGUGGGUUUAAGAAUUGAGAUCUAGAAAAUGCAUUGUUCAUUUACUUCAUUUAAACUGGCAUGUCACUUGUCACAUCCAUGGAAAUAAUUUGCUGAAGAGACAACAAAGUUUAGUUUCAGGUCGUGUCUUCUUUUGUUUCACGGUUGUUUAAACUUUGUGGCGUCGCUGUUCCUGUCGGCCUUCAUUAGGUUGAUGUACUAUUCUCUUCUUAAUAAUAUAUUUAUACACGUAGCAUGUUCAUGGAAAAAAUGAAAUGAGUUUUUGCUACAUUUGAGCAUUGCAUUUUAAAGUAAAGUUUCAGCCAUUAUUUUCUACCAGAAAUUUAGUGAUCUAUAUGCAAACAAUCUCUCUAUUUUUAGUAAUCUUGUGGGACGUCAGAGAACAGAUGACAUGAUCACAUCCCCAGUAAAUGUGUCAAUCAUACUAAACCAUUGACAAUUUCUAAUUUUGGAUAUUGAAAGAAUGAUAUUUUCUCGAGUAAAAUGAGAAUGCUGAUUAAUCCAUUUUCUAUUUCUGAGCUAUCUUGAUAAUUCUUAGCUAUUUUGAUGUUUCGCUUGAUAGCAAUUAUUACUGUCUAAGAAGACUUAAGUGUGGGAGACUGUGGUUUCAAAUCAGAGAAUUGUGUUUCGAGAUUACUAACAUACUACUCCCUCCGUCCGGAAAUACUUGUCAUCAAAAUUAAUAAAAGAGAAUGUAUCUAGAUGUAUUUUAGUUCUAGAUACAUCGUUUUUUAUCCAUUUUGAUGACAAGUAUUUUUGGACGGAGGGAGUAUUUCAUAUGAUUUUUUUUUCUUCAUUUACAUAUAGGCCAAGAUGUUCUCAAUAUGCCGCAUCUGGAACGUCUAGGAAAAGAUUAACCAUCUGAAGACUCGGUUACCUGGUUUUAUUUUAAAUGAAGUUGUGUGUGUGAGGAGAGCAAUAAAUUCGUGCAUGAACUACCUGUGUUGGUAAGAAUUUAGGUGUUCCUAAAAUUGAUUAGAUGAUUGACCCGAUCUUGUUAGUCAGCUGGUUGUAACUAACAUAGUACACUCUUUUGUUUCCAUCGAAAGAUAAAAUAUGCCAGGAAUGAUGUGUUAUCGAUAAUUUUUGGGUUCACUGAACCACGAGCGAGGUGGGAGGAGAGUCAGGCAUAUUAUUCUGGAGUGGCAUAUUUUUGGGUUCACUGAAGCAGGAGCCCAGUCUGAUCGUAGAUGUUCUUAUCCCCUUAGCAGGAGAGGGUAGGAGAGAGAGAGCAAAUCAUAGCUUCUUAACUAUAUGUGCGUUGCACGUGCAUGUUUACUAGUAUUGGUGUUAAACCUACUGUAUUCCAACUUUUUAUGGAUUAUAAACUAUUUUACUGUGCGUUGCAUGUGCAUGUUUACUAGUAUUGGUGUUAAACCUAAUGUAUUCCAACUUUAUAUGGAUUAUAAACUAUUUUACUAGCCAUAGAUUCAUCAAAAUAAGCAAACAACACAUGCAAAAUAGAA